UUGUAAAUUUGCCUUUAUGAU
ensembl:piRNA 21ur-2693 ncRNA